UACAGAGGUCCCGAGCGUUGUUCGGAUUCAUUGGGCGUAAAGGGUGCGUAGGCGGCUUCCUAAGUUUGAUGUGAAAUCCUGGGGCUCAACCCUGGAACUGCAUUGAAUACUGGGAGGCUAGAGUACUGGAGAGGAAACUGGAAUUUACGGUGUAGCAGUGAAAUGCGUAGAGAUCGUAAGGAAGACCAGUGGCGAAGGCGAGUUUCUGGACAGUUACUGA
rnacentral:rRNA from 1 species